UUUAAUACUAAUAAAAAUAUUUUUAAAAAUCCGGGUCAUUACAAUCUACCCUCCUUAUAGGGAUUCCGUCCUCGGAAUCAGAGAAAGAAGGAGGACGCAUAAUCUGUAAAAUCCAUAUUAAUCCACAGAACAAGUAUAAUCAUAUAAAACUAUUCACAUAAUCAAUUCGCUUUUCAACUAAAGCCAACAAUAAUAUUUAGACAAAUAGAUUUAUAAUAAUCACAUCUAAAUUUAAUAAUAUGGGAUAUUACAUUCUACCCCCCUUAUAAGGAUUCCGUCCUCGGAAUCCCCCGAAGAAAACUAAAACGUACACACUUCGUAAUAUCAUAUCGUCAUCCGCCUUUUGAUCAAUCUUGGCAUACCUUUGACUUCAAAGAAAUAGGAAAAUCAAACUUUCACAAUUACAAAAUUCAUUUCCCAAGAAUCAAUCUUUGGGAAAAUUUGGAGGAACAAGAUGCUUUCAAAGUAGGUCACAUUGGAAUACAAGAGUGACUGGGAGAUCAAUACGAUCAAAUGAGCUUAAUGUUGCGUGUCUAUAUUAGACACUACUAAAGGUUGCUAACCUUCUUGUAAUCACAACACACACAAGUGAUGGCGUCCCAUCCAACUCCUAUCACACAGACAGGUAUACCUUGUGUCCCCUAUACGUAGGGUUGUUCAUCCCAAUCAGAUGGAAAGAAUCCAAGAAAUCUCAAGGAGCAUCAAAGAAUGUUAAGGAUUAUCGAGGAAUAUAAUAAGAAAUAUUGAAAAGAUAUCAAGGAAUAUCAAAGAGUGUCAAAGAAUAUCAACGAAUAUUAAGGGAUAUCAAAGAAUAUGGAAGAAUAUCAAGGGAUAUCAAACAAUAUCAAAUAAUAUUAAGGAAUUCCACUGUCUCUUCAUAAACACGCCUUUAUCAUACACCGAUUCAAUACUAACUCACACCAAUAAUCAAUAUCAUUGUCAUCUUAGAAUUUGAGAAAUUAAAGAUCUCAUUUAUCAAAACUUUUGUAGAAAAGAUAUCAUGAUAAUAUCUCACUGAUGAGAAAACAAUCAAAAGAAUCUUUAGUUGAAGAGAGGUAUUGCCAAGGUCUUCUCAGAUUUUCGCUUUGCUUCAAUAAAUCAUUGUUCGAUAUAUAUCUUCUUUUCAACGUUCUCGAUAAUCGAUCGAUGUUGACUCGUAAUAGCCUCGUAAGAUGUCAUCGUAGACGUUAUUGUUCAUAAUAAGUCUGGCCCAAGUAGUUCACGUUCUCAUGUUUCAUCCAGUUGCCUUUGAAGUCCAUAGCACAACACAUAGCAUAUCUUCGAUUUUCUGGAUCAUCAACCUGUGGGUUAUGGGCCCACCUUGAUGCCAUUUGAAAUCCCGAUUAGCUCGAAGCGUUGUCGUCGAGGACUAACGUUCUAACUUACUCGUAGACAUCAUCUCUAAUAACUGGACUCAAUUCCACGUACUCUCUAUCAUUCACUUCUCACCUAUCAACCUCUAUCUACCAAUCUCUCCUUCUAAUCCAAUACAACUCAUACUCUACACUUACUCUUCAUAUCUUCACUCAAAACAAUAUACAUCUUCCAAAUAUCUGACAUGGUCAACAUACUAUGAACCAUGCAUUUAUAUCAUCCUCAAAUCAAUACAAUAAUCCAAUUUCAAAUAUGCAGUAUAGUCAGAAUACUCUGAACUCUGCAUUUUCACCAUUCUCAACUCAAUCAUUCACUAUCAAACUCUUCUAUCUAGGUCUAACCUUGACCUUUCACACAAUUCAUCAUCUCAAUUAAUCAACAUACUAGAAAUCCUAUGUCUAAACUUAAGAAUCAAAAUCUCUCUAAACCUAUACACUCAACUUGAUCGUCUAACCAGAUUUUAUACCUCUAUCGCAUCUCUAGACUGUUUCUAAAUAGUCUCACAAUACCUCUAUAUGAGGUCAC
rnacentral:lncRNA from 1 species